UUUAUCGGAGAGUUUGAUCCUGGCUCAGGACGAACGCUGGCGGCGUGCCUAAUACAUGCAAGUCGAGCGGACAGAUGGGAGCUUGCUCCCUGAUGUUAGCGGCGGACGGGUGAGUAACACGUGGGUAACCUGCCUGUAAGACUGGGAUAACUCCGGGAAACCGGGGCUAAUACCGGAUGGUUGUUUGAACCGCAUGGUUCAGACAUAAAAGGUGGSUUCGGCUACCACUUAC
rnacentral:rRNA from 1 species